rnacentral:rRNA from 1 species
UACGAAGGGGGCUAGCGUUGCUCGGAAUUACUGGGCGUAAAGGGCGCGUAGGCGGCACUGUUAGUCAGGCGUGAAAGUCCUGGGCUCAACCUGGGAACUGCGCUUGAUACGGCAGAGCUAGAGGAUGGAAGAGGCUCGCGGAAUUCCCAGUGUAGAGGUGAAAUUCGUAGAUAUUAGGAAGAACACCAGUGGCGAAGGCGGCCACCUGGCUCGGUACUGACGCUCAGGUUCGAAAGCGUGGGGAGCAAACAGG